rnacentral:piRNA from 9 species
CGCUGGUUCGAUUCCGGCUCGAAGGAC